CCCUAUGGGGUGCAGAUCGACGCGGGGGACGGCGUUUCCCUGCAGGAUGCUUUGCGGAAUGAUCCCCGGAUGAAUCCGCUGGUGGCUCUGACGCUGAUGGUGUUCAUUCUGGUCAUGCCGCCAUGUUUCGCCAGCCUGGCGACUAUUCGGGCUGAAGCGGGAAACCGCUGGAUGCUCUUUCAGGUUGGGUAUUCACUCACCCUGGCGGGGGUACUCGCCUUCCUGGUGCGAGCGGCUGGCAGCCUGCUGACCGGCAUGUAGACAGUCGGCGCAGGUGCCUGUCGCGUACAAGGUGUGCGAGCGGAUUCUGACGCCGGUUGCUGCCUCCAUCUGGCUGAGCAAGGGCUCCACCCUGCACUCCCCCAGAUCCACAAACCGAUGACAGACUUCGCAGUGGAACCAGUGCCGGUGCUUUGCGGAAUUGGCGGGAGGGC
rnacentral:rRNA from 1 species